UCUGGUCCUGGGUUUUUUAUGGAUGAAGACAUUGAAGGCUGUGAAAGUCAAAGGAGGCUCGGCGCAGUGGCUCAUGCCUAUAAUCCCAGCACUUUGGGAGGCCUAGGUGGGCAGAUGACCUGAGGUUGGGAGUUCAAGACCAGCCUGACCAACAUGAAGAAACCCCGUCUCUAGUAAAAUACAAAAUUAGUUGGGCGUGGUGACAUUUGCCUGUAGUCCCAGCUACUCAGGACGCUGAGGCAGGAGAACCACUUGAACCUGGGAGGCAGAGGUUGUGGUGAGCCAACAUCAUGCCAUUGCACUCCAGCCUGGGCAACAGGAGUGAAACUCUGUCCCCCCACCAAAAAAAAGUAAACAAAACACAUGAAAUUGUAAUCAAAAUAGUCAUUCUUACCUACCAUGGAAAUGUAAACUAUGUGCCCUGCUUGUCAAUUUGUUCUGCUAAUUAUGCAAUGCCCUUCUUGGAUCCUGGAAUAAAAUGGCAUUGUUCUCAAUAUUACUGGCAUGCAC
rnacentral:lncRNA from 10 species